rnacentral:rRNA from 1 species
GGAAUAUUGCACAAUGGGCGCAAGCCUGAUGCAGCCAUGCCGCGUGUAUGAAGAAGGCCUUCGGGUUGUAAAGUACUUUCAGUGGGGAGGAAGGCGAUGAAGUUAAUAGCUUCGUCGAUUGACGUUACCCGCAGAAGAAGCACCGGCUAACUCCGUGCCAGCAGCCGCGGUAAUACGGAGGGUGCAAGCGUUAAUCGGAAUUACUGGGCGUAAAGCGCACGCAGGCGGUCUGUCAAGUCGGAUGUGAAAUCCCCGGGCUCAACCUGGGAACUGCAUUCGAAACUGGCAGGCUAGAGUCUUGUAGAGGGGGGUAGAAUUCCAGGUGUAGCGGUGAAAUGCGUAGAGAUCUGGAGGAAUACCGGUGGCGAAGGCGGCCCCCUGGACAAAGACUGACGCUCAGGUGCGAAAGCGUGGGGAGCAAACAGGAUUAGAUACCCCUG